rnacentral:tRNA from 1 species
UCCCUGGUGGUCCAGUGGUUAAGACUGUGUAUUCCCAAUGCAGGGGCCCCAGGUUCAAUCCCUGGUCAGAGAA